GUAAAGGCAAUGAAGAGGAGUAGUAACCGUUUUAAUGCUUUUCAGAGAGCCGGUGGUUGGUGCGAACCGGUAAGCAUGGCGGUGAACUCGCCUUGGAGCCGCUUCGGUGAUAUGUAAUCGAAGACGUGAGCCUGCGUUAAAGGUAAAAUCAAGGUUUGCCGGUCUUGCCGGCAGACGAAUUGGGUGGUACCGCGGACGGCACAAAAGCCUCUGCCCCAAAU
rnacentral:ncRNA from 1 species